AUUGAACGCUGGCGGCAGGCCUAACACAUGCAAGUCGAGCGGAUGAAGGGAGCUUGCUCCUGGAUUCAGCGGCGGACGGGUGAGUAAUGCCUAGGAAUCUGCCUGGUAGUGGGGGAUAACGUCCGGAAACGGGCGCUAAUACCGCAUACGUCCUGAGGGAGAAAGAGGGGGAUUGUCGGACCUCACGCUAUCAGAUGAGCCUAGGUCGGAUUAGCUAGUUGGGGGGGUAUAGGCCUACCAAGGCGACGAUCCGUAACUGGUCUGAGAGGAUGAUGAGUCACACUGGAACGGAGACACGGUCCAGACUCCUACGGAGGGCAGCAGUGGGGAAUAUUGGACAAUGGGGGAAGGCCGGAUCCAGCCAUGCCGCGUGGUGAAAGAAGGUCUUCGGAUUGUAAAGCACUUUAAGUUGGGAGGAAGGGCAGUAAGUUAAUACCUUGCUGUUUUGACGUUACCAACAGAAUAAGCACCGGCUAACUUCGUG
rnacentral:rRNA from 1 species